AUAAUGCCAUAAUGUCACGACUGACAAACCAAGACCAAGACCAGGAAGUUAAGGAAUGUGCUAUUUCUUGCAUGGGGCUCGUCAUUUCAACAUUUGGUGACAACCUCAGAGCAGAGUUACCUGCAUGCCUUCCUGUACUUGUUGAUCGGAUGGGGAAUGAAAUAACACGCCUUACAGCGAUGACAGCAAAAGCCUUUACCGCUGUAAGGCGU
rnacentral:misc_RNA from 1 species